rnacentral:rRNA from 1 species
UCGCAAUGCCCGAAAGGGUGACGAAGCGACGCCGCGUGUGGGAAGAAGGCCUUCGGGUUGUAAACCACUGUCGGGAGUUAAGAAAUGCAAGAAUGUUAAUAGCGUUUUUGCUUGACUAAGGCUCCGGAGGAAGCCACGGCUAACUCUGUGCCAGCAGCCGCGGUAAUACAGAGGCGGCAAGCGUUGUUCGGAAUUAUUGGGCGUAAAGAGCACGUAGGCGGCUAUAUAAGUCGGUUGUGAAAGCCUUCCGCUCAACGGGAGAACAGCAUCCGAUACUGUAUGGCUUGAGUGUGGGAGGGGAGAGCGGAACUUCUGGUGGAGCGGUGAAAUGCGUAGAUAUCAGAAGGAACGCCGGCGGCGAAAGCGGCUCUCUGGCCCAUAACUGACGCUGAGUGUGCGAAAGCUAGGGGAGCAAACGGGAUUAGAUACCCCGGUAGUCCUAGCCGUAAACGAUGGGCACUAAGUAGAGGGGUUUU